rnacentral:rRNA from 1 species
UCCUACGGGAGGCAGCAGUGGGGAAUUUUGGACAAUGGGCGCAAGCCUGAUCCAGCCAUGCCGCGUGAGUGAAGAAGGCCUUCGGGUUGUAAAGCUCUUUCGGCAGGAACGAAAUGGUCCGUGCUAAUACCACGGAUUGAUGACGGUACCUGAAGAAGAAGCACCGGCUAACUACGUGCCAGCAGCCGCGGUAAUACGUAGGGUGCAGGCGUUAAUCGGAAUUACUGGGCGUAAAGCGUGCGUAGGCGGUUUCUUAAGUCAGAUGUGAAAUCCCCGGGCUUAACCUGGGAACUGCGUUUGAAACUGGGAGACUUGAGUGUGGCAGAGGGGGGUGGAAUUCCACGUGUAGCAGUGAAAUGCGUAGAUAUGUGGAGGAACACCAAUGGCGAAGGCAGCCCCCUGGGUCAACACUGACGCUCAUGCACGAAAGCGUGGGGAGCAAACAGGAUUAGAUACCCUGGUAGUCCACGCCCUAAACGAUGUCAACUGGUUGUUGGGGGAUUAACUCCCUUAGUAACGAAGCUAACGCGUGAAGUUGACCGCCUGGGGAGUACGGCCGCAAGGUUAAAACUCAAAGGAAUUGACGGGGACCCGCACAAGCGGUGGAUUAUGUGGAUUAAUUCGAUGCAACGCGAAAAACCUUACCUACCCUUGACAUGCUAGGAAGCUCGCAGAGAUGCGAGUGUGCCCGAAAGGGAACCUAGACACAGGUGCUGCAUGGCUGUCGUCAGCUCGUGUCGUGAGAUGUUGGGUUAAGUCCCGCAACGAGCGCAACCCUUGUCAUUAGUUGCUACAUUCAGUUGGGCACUCUAAUGAGACUGCCGGUGACAAACCGGAGGAAGGUGGGGAUGACGUCAAGUCCUCAUGGCCCUUAUGGGUAGGGCUUCACACGUAAUACAAUAGCCGGUACAGAGGGUUGCCAACCCGCGAGGGGGAGCCAAUCCCAGAAAGCCGGUCGUAGUCCGGAUUGUUCUCUGCAACUCGAGAGCAUGAAGUUGGAAUCGCUAGUAAUCGCGGAUCAGCAUGUCGCGGUGAAUACGUUCCCGGGCAU